ensembl:lncRNA
AUGGAGCAGAAAUGUCUGGUCUCUCUGGCUGCUGACUGCAAACAUUCCAAUAUUUUUCUGCUUGAGUGCCCUUCCACACAGCCAUUUAACCCAGAAUAUCAAGGCAGAAAAUCCCCCAAUAUUUGCUUUGAAUUGGGUUAUUUGAGUCCACACUGCCACAUAUUGCAAUUCAAAGCAGAAAAUGUGGAAUUUUAUUUAAUUGUGUGGAUGAGUGUGACAGAUCCUCCUUCUCUAGAGGUUUUGAUUCACAGGCUGGGUGGCCAUCUGUGGGGAAUGCUCUCAUUGUGAGUUCCCCUGUGUGGUAGAAAUGGCCUUUGGCGAAGGUGGAGCGGUCUCUUCUAACUCUAGGAUUCUCUGGGUUGCUGUGAGUUUUCCGGGCUGUAUGGCCAUGUUCCAGAAGCAUUCUCUCCUGAUGUUUCACCCACAUCUAUGGCAGGCAUCCUCAGAGGUUGUGAGGUCCGUUGGAAACUAGGCUGUGGGGGUUAUAUAUCUGUGGAAUGUCCAGGUUGUUUUGUCUGCUUGAAGCAAGUGUUCAUGUUGCAAUUGGCCACCUUGAUUAACACAGAAUAGCCUUGCAGCUUCAAAGCCUGACUGCUUAAUGCCUGAAGGAAUCCUUUGUUGGGAAGUGUUAGCUGGCCCUGAUUGUUUCCUGUCUGGAAUUCCUCUGCUUUCAGAGUGUUGUCCUUUAUUUACUGUCCUGAUUUUAGAAUUUUUUUAAAUAUUGGAAGCCACAUGUUAAUUUUCAUGGUUUCCUCCUUUCUGUUAAAAUUGUCCACAUGCUUGUGGAUUUCAGUGGCUUCUCUGUAUAGUCUGACAUUGUGAUCGAGGUGACCACUCCCCUCCAGGACUUUGUAAAAGAUAGUUCAAAAAUCAAGACUUGAUGUUCUAUAUUCCAUAUAUUUAUAGUAGAAGGUGAUUGAGACUUUUUACUGGAGUUUACUGUGGAUUAUCCCUGCACUCUGAGGCAAGAGAUAACAACUUCAUGAAUUGUAAAAUCAUGCUGCUAAAACUCCACUUUUAUGAAUUUCCAUGCUGGGUUCUCCAAAUGUUAUGAACUUCAUUCUUAUCAAAUAUUUUCAAUUGUUUAUAUCAUUCAUGAUUCCCCUUUAUGCAAUGUAACUCACUUUUAUGGAUUCUCCCUUAUUUCCAUGAAAUCUAUCUAUCUGCCUAUAUGUAUUUGUACUCUUUGGGAUCCCCGAAAAAUAUGUAUUUCUCCCAGCAUGGUUUAUAUUCCAACUUUAUUUUAUUUUUCAUUUUAUUUCACAUAAUUGUCAAGUCAUGAAACCAAAUAGGAAAUAUUUUGAACUCAACCUGAACCCCAGAACUUAUCCCAUUUCCUAUGACCCAGGCUUCCUUUCCCAAAAACAAAAGGAUAAUCUGCCACCGCUAAACCCAAUCAAAUUCAAAUUGCAUGGACAAUAUAGGGCUUGAGUCGCCGAAUUCGGAGUUUGCUGACCUAAAGGUGAUUCGCCCCAAGGCAAACAUUGUCAUAUCACACCCAAAGGAAAAACCAGGACACCUCAGGAAGGCGCCCUGCAGAGCCUGUCAAUAUGGCUCAUCACCACCCAUCUUUGCUUCCAUCUCUGACACCCCAAGGCAUAUCUAAAAUCUGUAUACGUGACAGAAACCCGGACACCCUUGAUUGCUGCCAUUAAUAAAUUAAGCACUCUUUAGAAAUCGGUCUAGCAGGACUUAAUCCGCCAGUUCCUGUCCUGUCACCUCAUUGUUUCAAUAACUCCCGCCUUCUCUUUCCUGAUUGGCCCGAGUAGAGACAAAAGGCAGCUUCCUAUUGGGCCAACGGAGCAAGGCGGGAAACGAAAGCCCGCCUCGUUCAACCUUCUAGCCUAUCAACGAUCAGAUGGGCGGCGGAGCAGGGCGGGAAAUUCAAAGGGCUUUCAGACUGAAACUUUGUAUAAAUAUGGCUUUAUUUUGAUUAUAUGGUACCCUAGUAGACCGAAUGAUCGCUACUAGUGUCCUCUUCAGCUGAAUUGCUCAAUAAAGACUCCUUGGCGGAUUUUCCUUCAACUUUGGCGGACCUUCUUCAUUUCGGCUUCAGGUUGUAUUGCGGCUCGUAAUUCUCCUUUUGGCUUCGCCAAGGUCCGUUCUCUCAGGACCGGAUCGGGUCUCUCCUUAAGGGCCCGAUCCCCUAAAACGCGGUCGACAACAACAUGAUGGUUUUGGAGUGGUCCAGCAUUUCUGUAUUCUCAAAUAAUAUGCUGUGUCCAGGUUAGUUCAUCAAGUGCUCUGCUUCUAAGCUUCUCCGGCCCCUUCCACACAGCUGGAAAAAAAAAUCCCAUGUUUUCUGCUUUGAACUGGAAUAUAUGGCAGUGUUGACUCAGAUAACCCAGUUCAAAGAA